GACGAGCCACCCAAACGUUAUUCGGAAUUACUGGGCUUAAAGGGUGCGUAGGCGGUGCAGCAAGUCGGGAGUGAAAUACCUCAGCUUAACUGAGGAACUGCUCUCGAUACUGCUGUGCUUGAGUGAGACAGAGGUAAGCGGAACUUAGGGUGGAGCGGUGAAAUGCGUUGAUAUCCUAAGGAACACCGGUGGCGAAGGCGGCUUACUGGGUCUCUACUGACGCUGAGGCUCGAAAGCCAGGGUAGCAAACGGG
rnacentral:rRNA from 1 species